rnacentral:rRNA from 1 species
GACAGAGGUGCCGAGCGUUAGGCGGAAUCACUGGGCUUAAAGCGUGUGUAGGCGGAUGCCUAAGUACCUUGUGAAAUCCCACGGCUCAACCGUGGAACUGCUUGGUAUACUGGGUGUCUUGAGCUAUCUAGGGGCAACUGGAACAAACGGUGGAGCGGUGAAAUGCGUAGAUAUCGUUUGGAACGCCAAUGGUGAAAACAGGUUGCUGGGGAUAUGCUGACGCUGAGACACGAAGCCAGGGGAGCAAACGGG